CACGUAGGGCGCAAGCGUUGUCCGGAAUUAUUGGGCGUAAAGAGCUCGUAGGCGGUCUGUUGCGUCCGCUGUGAAAACUCGGGGCUUAACCCCGAGCCUGCAGUGGAUACGGGCAGACUAGAGGUAGGUAGGGGAGAAUGGAAUUCCCGGUGUAGCGGUGAAAUGCGCAGAUAUCGGGAGGAACACCGGUGGCGAAGGCGGUUCUCUGGGCCUGUACUGACGCUGAGGAACGAAAGCGUGGGGAGCGAACAGG
rnacentral:rRNA from 1 species